ACUCAAAGGAAUUGACGGGGGCCCGCACAAGCGGUGGAGCAUGUGGUUCAAUUCGACGCAACGCGCAGAACCUUACCAGGGCUUGACAUCCUCUGUAAGCCGCAGAAAUGCGGCCCCGAUAGCAAUAUCGCAGGGUGACAGGUGCUGCAUGGCUGUCGUCAGCUCGUGUCGUGAGAUGUUGGGUUAAGUCCCGCAACGAGCGCAACCCUCGUCGAGUGUUGCCAGCAUUCAGUUGGGCACUCACUCGAGACCGCCGUUGAUAAGACGGAGGAAGGUGGGGAUGACGUCAAGUCCGCAUGGCCCUUACGUCCUGGGCUACACACGUGCUACAAUGGCCGGUACAACGAGCAGCAAGACCGCGAGGUCAAGCGAAUCUCAUAAAGCCGGUCUCAGUUCGGAUUGAAGGCUGCAACUCGCCUUCAUGAAGUCGGAAUCGCUAGUAACCGCAGAUCAGCUACGCUGCGGUGAAUACGUUCCCGGGCCUUGUACACACCGCCCGU
rnacentral:rRNA from 1 species